rnacentral:rRNA from 1 species
GAUGAACGCUAGCGGCAGGCCUAAUACAUGCAAGUCGAACGGUGUCUUCGGACAUAGUGGCGCACGGGUGCGUAACACGUAUGCAACCUACCUUACAUUGGGGGAUCGCCUUUCGAAAGGGAGAUUAAUACCGCAUAAGACAGUAGCUGGGCAUCCAGCAGCUGUUAAAGAUUUAUCGAUAUAAGCUGGGCAUGCGUCCAAUUAGCUAGUUGGUGAGGUAACGGCUCACCAAGGCAAUGAUUGGUAGGGGAACUGAGAGGUCAAUCCCCCACACUGGCACUGAGAUACGGGCCAGACUCCUACGGGAGGCAGCAGUAGGGAAUAUUGGGCAAUGGACGCAAGUCUGACCCAGCCAUGCCGCGUGCAGGAUGAAGGCGUUAUGCGUUGUAAACUGCUUUUAUACAGGAAGAAACGACUCUUGCGAGAGGCAUUGACGGUACUGUAUGAGUAAGCACCGGCUAACUCCGUGCCAGCCGCCGCAGUAACAC